ACCUAACUCGCUGUGACUGAGGGACAGCAACAGGAGCAAAAGCUAUUGAAUAUUUAUCAAUCCUUUGGUAUUUCAAGUAUGCUGCAGUUCAGAUGGUUCUAGGCUGGUGCAUAAAGAAUUCUGUUCCCCCAAAAGAAUCUGUGAAUGAAUGGCUGUAUCUGAGACACAACUUGGUGCUGGCAAGGCUGCAGCAGGAUUUCUGCGUUUUUGCCUGCCUUCCUUCCCAGCUUUUUUUUUUGCGACUGGUUCCUUGAAACACCAGGAUCCACAGAACUGGAAUGCUAUUGCAGCUUGCUGUCAGACUUUAUUUGGAUGUAGUGCACAGUCUGAAAUGUUUUAUAUAACAAAAAUGUAAAAUUCCUCUAACACUGUCCUGUAACACUUUAAGGAGAGAGAAAAAUCUAGGUGCACGUUCCAUUUCAGGCUUUAAACUUCUUCCCCUCCUUUGCAAUUACAUGUGAAAUGAAGUGAAAUUGUGGAGUGAUAUUCUGAACCUAAAAGCUGGUGUAAUUCAUUCCAUGCCUACUCUGUUGGGUUUUUUAAAUCUGUACUUUUAAUUUCUUAUGCAGAACUUUAUCAGUCUAUCUUUAAGAACAUGUCUAGUGGAAAAAUCCAAACCUCUUCCUUA